UCGACCCUAGUGGGUCGAUAGCGAUAAGCGCUGAAUGAGGGAAAUCGUCGACCACGCCGGCGGGGUCGGUAUCGGGGUUCUGAAGGCCUGACCUUCCAACACGCGAAGGGAAAACCACCCCAAUACAGGUUAGGUCACAUACCUCUGAAAAUGCAUUUUUGGGAAUGUGGGGUUCUUCGCGAUGUUUUCGUUCACCUCUGACCAUGUGAUAAUCAUUUAUGUUCCGAACUUGAAUUCGAAAACAAAUUCGACAAUUAUUGGUUUAGGCCUGUGCUGGAUUCGAACCUUCGACCUCAAAGUGAGACGCCUCGUAUAUGCGCAAAUGUCAAAUUGCAAUAUUUCUUUUUUAGAUGAAUCGUUUCGCAGUGGCCUUUUUUAAUGUUGGACUUUAUGUAUAUUUUUCUAAUUUAUUGUUUGUUUUUAAUAUAAAAUCAAGUUGAUCUUGGUUUGUUUUGGUACUAUAUUGGAGCCGAUUUAGGCAAUCGCCAAUUUAAUUUUAACUUAUAAACUAGCUCUCUUUUUCUUGCACUUAUUGUAAAAAAGUAAAGUAAAGUACGGCGAUAUUUUAAGAGCUGUCUAAUAAAAAUAAGGUUAAGUUUGUGUCCCCUCUAAAAGGCACAAUUGUCUGUGUUAGGUGGGCAGCAUGUUUACUAUUAUUUUUUUCGUGUAUAAAUUGAAUAUUUUGUUUUGUCUCAUUAGCUUAUAUUUUAAAACAGUUUUAAAGCUACUACGGUGCUUGGUAAUACCACAGAAAAAAAAAUUCUACCCGUAGUACUUACUACUAAUAUCGGAUUUUGUCGGAGACGCUACGUUCAAGGCCGAAAAUAUAAAACCCACAAACAAAAGCGCUUUGAUCGCAACGUAACGGGUUAAAAAAAACAAAAAGAAAUUGCUAUUUACAAAUAAAGGGUUUAAAAAUAAAAGAAUCCAGAUACCAAUCCAAAAUUUAUUUUAGAAGGGUGCAAACAAAAACCUUAUCACAGUAAACAAAAUUAUCCGUAGCGUAAUAUCCGAAAUAAUUUAUAGUAAUAUUAUAUCCACAAUCUUAACGCUUACCAAAUGCAGAUGAUCUUUGUAUGUGUAGUUAUUUUUUAAUUUAUAAUAAAUUAAUCAACAAAGGAAGCAUUUCUUAACAACUGUAAAAUAAUUUACAAUUAACAUAAUUUGCUUUGUUUUACAAGAGUUUUAAUAUUACAUUUUGGAAUAUUGUAAUGUAAUGAUGCCGAUUCAGGCAGAUACAAACUUAAUUUUGUUUUAAUUUAACAAUGGCCACGAUUCUUGCAGACACCUCCUAAUUUUACUUUAAGUUAUACCUGUCAUUUUCUUAUCCGCCGAAAAGGAAAGGGACGGAUGAUUGACAGCUCUUAUUUUAAGAAGAAUGAGUAAAUGAAUGAAUAACCCGGGCGUAUCAAAAAGGUAUCUCGCUCAGAUGCCACAAUAUUGAGAGCUAUUAUACUAAAAUAAAAUCACAUUUUGCCUGCUAAAAUCGUUACCAUCGACACAAAGUACUUAUUGAGCUUAAAGCUGGUGUAAAGUAAAACAAGUACUCAGAAUAUUUGUCUGUCUAACUUUUAUAAGACUAGCUUCCUUAUAGAUAAGAACUAGCGGAGAAUAGAGCGGGACAAAUAACAUUAUAUUCAACGUUAUGUCUCAUCGGGUCCUUAUUCUAUCUCGCUCACACCCGUUUUAGGAGAAUAGUGACGUAUGUAGUAGCAUGUCUCAGCUUAAAAGGCCACAUUGAUACAAUUCAUUAAAAACCAAUAGAGCGCAAUAUUAACAAAUAAUUGUCAAAUAGCAAUAUUGUUGAGAUAAAUUGCUUCAAUGUAGCCUUUUUAAUGCCCCAGUUCAUAAAACGGGCGUUCUGUAGCAUAAUUUACGAUUCUAAAACCAAAUGCUUUAUUCUUCUUUAGUUAGUGUUUUGUUUUUAUUUUAUUUUACACUCAGCUUCAUACAGUUUCGAGAUACCGUCUUAAAACGUGUUUGUUAUUUUUUCCGUCCUGGUUUUUGAUAAUAAUUGAAAUACUAAAACCUAUAGUAAUAGUAACAAACUUUUGAUGAUUUCUGUAUCUCACUGGUAAACGGCUUGUAAUAUUGUCCCUUACGCAACAGACACCCAAAACUACAUAAAACAAAAUUAACCAUUAAACAUGAAACUAUCCUAUUCACUGUGGUGGUCGAACGAUAAAUAAUUAUUAUUAUGUUAAACCAAAGAUGGAAAUGCAGGGAAUCACGACUAUAAUUUAUAUGUAGUAAGACCUAAAACUAUGUGCUAUAUACAGGUUUAUAUAAUCCACAAAAAUGUUCAUAAUGGUGCCGAUUCCUGUACAGACCAUCUAAUUUUAUUAUAAGGUAUACCUGUCAUUUUCUUAUCUGCCGAAAAGGAAAGAGACGGGUAAUCGACAGGCAUAAACUUAAUGGAACCCAUGUCAAUUUUAGGCAGAAACUUAAGGGUGGCAUUAUAAAAGAAUCUCAGCUGAGACUGCCCUCAAGUCCCUGUUUUUAUAUAAGAACUGUCACAUUGACAUGAUCUUGAUGGCAGUCUCGAAGUUGAGAUUAGUUUAGUAAUACCACUCCCAAACAUCCUUCUCAAAAUUUUACGUAGUCCUAUAACCCGGCAGAAUUAAGUUGACGACACACUUCGAACGGGUUACAUACUAGCGAGAUGCCUAUUUAAUUGCUUGGUUUAUUCAUUCAUUUUAAAAACUGACAGCUGCCAAUCAUCCGUCCCUUUCCUUUUCGGCGGAUAAGAAAAUGACAGGUAUAACUUUAGGUGUCUGUAGGAAACCGCGCCAUUAUAUGCCUUGACUUUUUCUUCAAUGUAAUAACAAGUCUUACUUGUUUUGUCAAAAUAGAGAAGAAAAAUUGACGUCUAGGCAAAAAUGAGUUGAAUUUUUAAGAAUCUUGCCUAAGCCAUAGUAGUCGUCGGGUCAUAAAAGUGUGAUUCAAUCCAUACAGUCUUCGGCUGCGUUUCCAUUGACGCGGAGAUGUGCAGGAAUUGACCAAUCACCGUGAGGGAGAGUGACAGAGCGUCUUCGUUUUCUGCUCUCGAACGCUGUGAUUGGUCAAAUCCGCCCAUCUCCGCGUCAGUGGAAAUCCGGCCUAAACUCAAGCCCGUACGUUAUUACUCCUUAUUUAGGUCCACGUGGUGAACGCUAUAUUUUUUUUCUUAAGGGAUAUAUUGUAAAUAAUGUUAUAAAUACCGACGGCGUGUAACGACACUGUACGGUCACGAGCAUUAAUAUGUAUACACUUUGGUACCAUGUCACAUUAACUUUUUUGACAAAUUGAACUGUAAGUCACUAAAUGUCAAAUAUGUUAGUGCGACAGAGUCCUAAAGUGGGUACAUUAUAUUGCUCAUGACUGUACUAGAUUUAAGACCUUUAGUUUAAAGAGCAAGAGAGAGUUACAAGUAUUUUUGUCUCGCUCUCGCACGUAACAUAGUUGUCGCCUUAAGGUAAAAUGUAACAUAAGUCAGUUGACACUUAAGGAUUUCAUUACUCAAGUUGUGUAAAGAAAUUAAAAAAUCAACCAAGUUAUGAACUCUGCUUCAGAUCAGUAUUUCUCGAUGGAAAUACUUCGUUGAUUAUAAAUUCUGCGAUCUAGCAGGUGAGUAUGAGCAAGACAGAAAGAUAACAGUCUAGUGCGAAA